GAGCGGGCAGCGUCGUGUGGCUCGUCUGGAAGUCAAUCAGCGCGUCCGUGUCCGUCCCAUCCCGCCCGACGGCGACGCCAUAACCAACUCCCCUCCACUCCAGAACCCAAGCCCAGCGGACGCGGUGCUCUGGGCGCCACACACGCCUGACUCCACCGGCCGCCCCCCGCAAGCGCAUAUAAAAUAAGGCAGUGGCGCAGUGAUGUUCAUCCUCGACGGCAUAGGCCUACUACCACCUUCCUACACGCACAACACUCUUAAGCUCUCUGUAAAUCCGCAGCCGGUGCUCGCUUUCCGGUGAUCGCAAGCGGCACGGCUAUAAAGGCGGCUCGCACUGCUCGGCCGGAGUAGUGUGCGGACAUGGCUACGGGAGCCGAGAUCUUCCGGCCAGUUGCGGUCGCCGCCGACGUCGUGGAGGCGCCGGCGUUGCUGACUGCCACAGGCAAGGAUCAGCUCGUGGAUCCGGUGAUCUGGGCCGACGAGGAGCGGAUGAAGAGGGAGCUCAUGGCAUGGGCCAAGGCUGUCGCGUCCAUGGCGCUCAACGUCCCGGCCGGCUCGUCGUCGCCCCUUUCCGUGGGUCGAGGACAGACAAGCCAGGGUGCAAGACGCUUCCAGCUUCGUACGUAGUUUUUUUUUUGUGUGUGUGCUUAGCUUAGUAUACGUAUAGUUGGUUUGCAGAUGCAGGCCUUUUCGUUGACCUGAAUGAUAACAUGCAUGUGUGUUAUCAUUAUUGGUGCUGGUAUAUUUUUGCCCGGGGGGAGCAAAAUUGUUGCUCCCGGCUUGUGUACAUCAAGGGGUGUUUGUAUCCAAGGACUUUUUGAUGUAGGGGUUAAAAAAGUUCCUUUUA